GGGGGUGUGUUCUUGUACACAGAAACAAUGGAGGACAAGCCAGCACCACUGAAGUCAUCAACACUAAACGACAGAAGCCUCCUAUUACUUACACAGCCAAUAGUAAUCAUGCCUGAAUUAGCGAUAUUGCCCAAAAUGAGCGAAUCAAGUCUGAUAUCAGUACUGGUACAGUCCUGACAAGUAUCAUUGCUGAUCAUGUCUGAUAUUCUGGCCUGAACCAGUGCAAAACCUUUUCAUGAUUGAGUCUCAACUGAUUUCAUGACUAUGUCGUGACUGAAGAUUACAAGAAAUCAAAGAAGUGUCUAAUGGAGUGUCUAUCUUCCUAGCUAAAGGGAGAGGAUGGAGUAAGAGAGACAAGAGGAGGUGGAUCAAACUGGAUAUCAUUAGUAGCAGCACUAGAUGCAAUGGGAGAGAGGGAGGUUGCUGACAACAUUAGAAUAAAGUACUUCCAAUGAACUAUUAGUAUAUCACUGCUUUUUUUAUAUCUGGAACCACUUGACAAGCAUCAAUAACAAAGUUACGGACAUUAAUCUUUGAUCUGAGAAAUCAUCUCAACUUUCAACAAUUCUUUGCAUACAUGAGUCUGAAUUGAGUCACCAGCUUCAACACUUAGCGGAACAAGUUGACACUUUCUCUCAAGCCCGUCGUAUCAAGAACUCAAACAG